rnacentral:rRNA from 1 species
UGGGGAAUUUUGGACAAUGGGCGCAAGCCUGAUCCAGCCAUGCCGCGUGCGGGAAGAAGGCCUUCGGGUUGUAAACCGCUUUUGUCAGGGAAGAAAUCUUCUGAGUUAAUACCUCGGGAGGAUGACGGUACCUGAAGAAUAAGCACCGGCUAACUACGUGCCAGCAGCCGCGGUAAUACGUAGGGUGCAAGCGUUAAUCGGAAUUACUGGGCGUAAAGCGUGCGCAGGCGGUUUUGUAAGACAGAGGUGAAAUCCCCGGGCUCAACCUGGGAACUGCCUUUGUGACUGCAAGGCUUGAGUGCGGCAGAGGGGGAUGGAAUUCCGCGUGUAGCAGUGAAAUGCGUAGAUAUGCGGAGGAACACCGAUGGCGAAGGCAAUCCCCUGGGCCUGCACUGACGCUCAUGCACGAAAGCGUGGGGAGCAAACAGGAUUAGAUACCCUGGUAGUCCACGCCCUAAACGAUGUCAACUGGUUGUUGGGAAGGUUCCUUCUCAGUAACGUAGCUAACGCGUGAAGUUGACCGCCUGGGGAGUACGGCCGCAAGGUUGAAAACUCAAAGGAAUUGACGGGGU